AUUGAACGCUGGCGGCAUGCCUUACACAUGCAAGUCGAGCGGCAGCGCGGGGGCAACCCUGGCGGCGAGCGGUGGACGGGUGAGUAAUACAUCGGAACGUGUCCUUUCGUGGGGGAUAACCAGUCGAAAGACUGGCUAAUACCGCAUGAGAUCGCAAGAUGAAAGCGAGGGACCCCGGGGGUAACUUCGGGGCCUCGCGCGAUUGGAGCGGCCGAUGCCGGAUUAGCUAGUGGCGGGGUAAAAGCCCACCAAGGCGACGAUCCGUAGCUGGUUUGAGAGAACGACCAGCCACACUGGGACUGAGACACGGCCCAGACUCCUACGGGAGGUAGCAGUGGGGAAUUUUGGACAAUGGGGGCAACCCUGAUCCAGCCAUGCCGCGUGUGUGAAGAAGGCCU
rnacentral:rRNA from 1 species